AGCACUACAGCUAUGUCUCCUCUCCGCUGCUCUCCUCUCGCUUCUGACAUUGGUGGUAGUUGCAAAUUUCUAGAGUUUCUGCUCCUUCGUCCGCAUUCUUCGUUCUUAUUUGUUUUGUCUCUGUGAUUUGUAGAAUGUUGGGUUUGCCAAAAAUCAAUCACACGAAGACGCACACGCACACGACAAUCAUCGGAUUAUUGCCAUGGCCACGUGACUUACCCUCUUUUCUUUAUUUCUCUGAACUCAAAACUCACGACCUUGAUACAAGCUACGCUGACUCGUCGACUCAACUCAACGCAUGAGCCGGACUACCAGCCCACGCGCAGACAUCUCGCGUGCUACGUGCAGAUUAGACGCACCAUUAAUCUCACGCAGGAACUCAAUUAAACUGGUCAUGGUCCCACUACACGCCAAGUUUGAUCUUCUCGCCGAGACACGCAAAUGAUCCCAUGCCACCUCGUCUGCACGCACGCCGAUCUCUUGCUCCGAUGACACACCAAACCGGACAACCUUCGACCGUGACGCACUUCCACUGCAACAGAGCCUCACACCGACGAGCACUUGGACACAACCACGACCCACAGACGCUAAUCUGGACACACAUAACUCUUCAGUGAGCUUGCCGACGACAGUUUGCCCUGAUGCCGAGUACUUUCCGGCGAUCAGUAUUAUGAUCCCCCGUUACUAGAAGAUCGGCCCACCGUGAUGACAACUCGAUCCAAUCUGCUGCACACUACUCCGCAACUGCCACCGUUUGCUCGCUUAUCCAUGGAUGCCGCUCCGCCGUCAAUGCCUGCUCUGAUCUGCGGACGCCGUUCCGCCACCGUUGCCCGCCCCGAGGCGCUAGCACAUCGCCUCCCCGGGGCAAGCGCGUCUUCAAAUUUUGACCUUGCUCUGAUACCAAAUGUUGGGUUUGCCCAAAAAUCAAUCACAUGAAGACGCACACGCACAUGACGAUCACCGGAUUAUUGCCACGGGCACGUGACUUACCCUCUUUUCUUUAUUUCUCUGAACUCAAAACUCACAACCUUGAUACAAGCUACGCUGACUACCCGUGUAUUUAUACACGCACGGCCAGGACACACCUAGUAAUAUUCAGACUCCAACUGGCCAUGACUCCUAAUCCUACUUGGACUAACACUCUCAAACUCACCUAAGCCUAGUAGAACUCAAACUUAAGAUUAAUUCCUAACAUAGAACAGAACUCGGAGCUAGAGGAGCUACGGUGACAAAAGAGGUCAGUUCACCAGGCUGACCGCUUUGUUCUUUUCCUUCUCAUUCUGAUUGUUGUCUCCGUUGCUUGCUUGUGUUUGAUUCUUCUUUGUUCUCAUUGGUUGACUUAUCUGGUUGUGUGCCUGAUUGCUUUCCAUGGUUAAUUAUAAGUAUUGUAUGCAUCUUUUCUGUUUGUAGCAUGUAUGCUCGGCCUUACAAUUUUUGGGCAGCAUGUAUGCUCAGCCAUAACCCUGUUCACUGAAUAAACAUAAUAGUUUCUAAAAAGCUUGACUGAUUUCUUG
rnacentral:lncRNA from 1 species